GAGAGAGAGAGAGAGAGACCAUUUAUAUGCUUAUUUUGAUAGAGCUAUAUAAUUGACAUAGAAGAACCUUACUCUAACGGAUCAAGCUCGCACAACUGUGUUUUGGCAAAGAAAAAAGAUGAUCGGAGGAUUGAAAUAGUUGUCUUGUUGAGGAUUAUUUACAAUUAUGGUAGUCUACAACUCUACAUAACGUGAAAAGUGAUUAAUGAAGGCCUUAUCUUAAAAAUAUUCACAGGCUUAAUUAAAAGAAGAUUUAUUGAGAGGAGGAUUUCUAUUGGAAUAGCAAAUGUAUGAGAUUGAAUGCUAUUAUCGGUUACUUUUCAAGAAAACAACAACUAAAACAUAUAUCAUUAAAAUAAAGAUCAAUUCAUCAGUGAAUGCAAAAUCUACCAAGAAAUAAAGUCAUUUAAUCUACACUCAAAAC
rnacentral:misc_RNA from 1 species